UAAUACGGAGGAUGCGAGCGUUAUCCGGAUUUAUUGGGUUUAAAGGGUGCGUAGGCUGUUAUAUAAGUCAGUGGUGAAAUAUUCGGGCUCAACCGGGAUACUGCCAUUGAUACUGUAUAGCUGGAAUAUGGUUGCUGUGGGUGGAAUGUGUGGUGUAGCGGUGAAAUGCAUAGAUAUCACACAGAAUAUCGAUUGCGAAGGCAACUCACAAAGCCAUUAUUGACGCUGAUGCACGAAAGUGUGGGGAUCAAACAGGAUUAGAUACCCUGGUAGUCCACACUGUAAACGAUGAUAACUAGCUGUCGGCGAUAGAUAGUCGGUGGCUAAGCGAAAGCGAUAAGUUAUCCACCUGGGGAGUACGACCGCAAGGUUGAAACUCAAAGGAAUUGACGGGGGCCCGCACAAGCGGAGGAACAUGUGGUUUAAUUCGAUGAUACGCGAGGAACCUUACCCGGGCUCGAACGGUGCAGGAAUAUGGUAGAGAUAUCAUAGCUAGCAAUAGUCUGUAUCGAGGUGCUGCAUGGUUGUCGUCAGCUCGUGCCGUGAGGUGUCGGCUUAAGUGCCAUAACGAGCGCAACCCUUGUCGUUAGUUACCAUCAAGUAAAGUUGGGGACUCUAGCGAGACUGCCACCGUAAGGUGUGAGGAAGGGGGGGAUGACGUCAAAUCAGCACGGCCCUUACGUCCGGGGCGACACACGUGUUACAAUGGUAGGUACAGAGGGGCGCUAUCCAGUGAUGGAGUGCGAAUCUCAAAAACCUAUCUCAGUUCGGAUUGGAGUCUGCAACUCGACUCCAUGAAGUUGGAUUCGCUAGUAAUCGCGCAUCAGCCAUGGCGCGGUGAAUACGUUCCCGGGCCUUGUACACACCGCCCGUCAAGCCAUGNAAGCCGGGGGUGCCUGA
rnacentral:rRNA from 1 species